ACGGAGAGUUUGAUCCUGGCUCAGGACGAACGCUGGCGGCGUGCUUUACACAUGCAAGUCGAGCGAGACCUCGCCUUCGGGCGAGUGCUCUGGCGGCGAACGGGUGAGUAACACGUGGGCAACCUGCCCUCAGCUCUGGGAUAACCCCGGGAAACCGGAGCUAAUACCGGAUACGACCACGGACGGCAUCAUCUCGUGGUGGAAAGAUUCAUCGGCUGAGGAUGGGCCCGCGGCCUAUCAGCUAGUUGGUGGGGUAAUGGCCUACCGAGGCAAUGAUCAGUAGCUGGUUUGAGAGGACGAUCAGCCACACUGGGACUGAGACACGGCCCAGACUCC
rnacentral:rRNA from 1 species